AUGCAUCAUGAUCAGGACAGUUACCGUCGCGACAGGGAACAAGGAACUCCUGGGCCGAUGAUGCCUCCGUCCAAGGGCGAGGAGGAGGAGGAGCCUCCUCGUAAGCCUCCGGUGUCCACAACAUGCUUCAUAUUAGGAUUUUUCGCCGCGCUAUGUUGCUGCUGCUUGGUCGACGAGCCGCUCAUGUGA
rnacentral:rRNA from 1 species